GCAUCUGUGCAUGCAGCAUAUCAAUAAGCGGAGGAAAAGAAACUAACAAGGAUUCCCCUAGUAACGGCGAGUGAAGGCGGGAAGAGCUCAAAUUUGAAAUCUUAAAGGGUUUCCCUUUACGAAUUGUAGUUUAAAGAAGUGUUUUCUGUUGAGGUUUUGGUAAAAGUUCUUUGGAAUAGGACAUCAUAGAGGGUGAGAAUCCCGUAUUUGACCUUUACUUUCAACUUUGUGAUACACUUUCAAAGAGUCGGAUUGCUUGGGAAUGCAGUCCAAAAUGGGUGGUAAAUUUCAUCUAAAGCUAAAUAUUGGCGAGAGACCGGAUAGCGAACAAGUACCGUGAGGGAAAGAUGAAAAGAACUUUGAAAAGAGAGUUAAACAGUACGUGAAAUUGUCAAAAGGGAAGCGUUUGACACCAGUGUUGUUUUUCUGAAAAUCAAUUAAAGAACUGUUUAUGCUAAGUUGUUUAGACUUUAUCAGCUAACUGUUUAGUUUUGAGCUUUUCUUUAAUGCACUUUUCAGUUAACAAGUCAACAUCAAUUUCUUUUGCUGUAAAAAAGCUUGAGGAAGGUGGCUUGAGAUUCGUCUUAAGUGUUUAUAGCCUCUUGCCUAUGCAGUCGGAGAGAUUGAGGUCUGCAGCGUAGAUCCUUCGGGGCUAAAUGCAUUUGUGCUAAGUUAUAGCAUUUUAUAGACAGCUUGUUGACUAUGAUUUGUCUUGUAGCUUACUCGCUUAUGUUAUUUUACCUACGCUUAGGAUGUUGAAGAUGUAGCACAUCAU
rnacentral:rRNA from 1 species